AAAUUCAUGGGCUCAACCCAUGACCUGCCUUCAAAACUGUCAAUCUUGAGUGGUGUAGAGGUAGGCGGAAUUCCCGGUGUAGCGGUGGAAUGCGUAGAUAUCGGGAGGAACACCAGUGGCGAAGGCGGCCUACUGGGCACUAACUGACGCUGAGGCUCGAAAGCAUGGGUAGCAAACAGGAUUAGAUACCCUGGUAGUCCAUGCCGUAAACGAUGAUUACUAGGUGUGGGAGGAUUGACCCCUUCCGUGCCGCAGUUAACACAAUAAGUAAUCCACCUGGGGAGUACGACCGCAAGGUUGAAACUCAAAGGAAUUGACGGGGGCCCGCACAAGCAGUGGAGUAUGUGGUUUAAUUCGAAGCAACGCGAAAAACCUUACCAGGUCUUGACAUCCCGUGCAUAGCUAAGAGAUUAGUGAAGUCCUUCGGGACACGGAGACAGGUGGUGCAUGGUUGUCGUCAGCUCGUGUCGUGAGAUGUUGGGUUAAGUCCCGCAACGAGCGCAACCCUUAUCUUUAGUUACUACGCAAGAGGACUCUAGAGAGACUGCCGUUGACAAAACGGAGGAAGGUGGGGAUGACGUCAAAUCAUCAUGCCCUUUAUGACCUGGGCCACACACGUACUACAAUGGCAAUUAACAAAGAGAAGCGAAACCGCGAGGUGGAGCGAACCUCAUAAAAAUUGUCUCAGUUCGGAUCGCAGGCUGCAACCCGCCUGCGUGAAGCCGGAAUUGCUAGUAAUCGCGGAUCAGCAUGCCGCGGUGAAUACGUUCCCGGGCCUUGUACACACCGCCCGUCACACCAUGAGAGCCGGGGGGACCCGAAGUCGGUAGUCUAACCGCAAGGAGGACGCCGCCGAAGGUAAAACUGGUGAUUGGGGUGAAGUCGUAACAAGGUAGCCGUA
rnacentral:rRNA from 1 species